GUUUUAAGAUUAGUUAAUUAAUUAAUAUGUAAAUUUUUUUUUCUAAAAUUUCCUAUAAAAAAACAUACAAACGAGUACAGAACGCACGUAAAAAAGUACUAGUUACAAUAAGGUCACACUACAUAGGAAACAACUCAGAAACAGGCCACAUCCAAAUAAAUAUAGUCCCAAGCCUAAUAGAAAAACUAGCGGCUAGAGGGUCUAAAUCCAUAACCCUAUCCCAUUUGUGGAUCUAGGUCAUGAUCUUUUCUAAGGGCACCGAAGGAAACCCUACCCACUAUCUGUGGCUUCAAACUGAAGUUGCCAUCAUCAACACUAGGAACAAGGAAGCUAGAAUUGGGAGACCUCAUCACCAAUUGAUUUCUAACAGAUCGAACCUUAUAUGAGGUUAGCAUCAACUAAAGCAAGUUCUAGCAGCCUAAUUAAGGGCCAAUCUUAGCUUCUCACAGGGGUGGUAUGUUGGAGUCCUCUGGCAUGCAAUGGCCAUUGAAGAACCUGACUUCAGCUAGCACCGGGAAUGUUCCCAGGACCAUAGUAGAGUCAGACAUAAACACAACACAGCAACUUCUGCAUAUCACAAGUUACACAAGAUCCACCGCGUGAGAGACCACUUAUAUGCUGUAAUAGUCGUGGAGACAGGUUCCCUCUUCUGUAAGAAUCGCUAUCGGCAAUCCAAUCCCAAUAAAUAUACUAUUUACAAUACCACUCAGAUAUGGGGGGAGGAAACCCACCUCUGGACAAGAACAAUUCCCGUCCCCUGCCCAAAUGGGGCAGGGAACAACUGCACACCAAUAGAAAAAAGGAUCGAGUCUCGUAGCAAAAGAAAGA
rnacentral:misc_RNA from 1 species